rnacentral:rRNA from 1 species
CCUACGGGUGGCUGCAGUGGGGAAUAUUGGGCAAUGGGCGCAAGCCUGACCCAGCAACGCCGCGUGAAGGAAGAAGGCUUUCGGGUUGUAAACUUCUUUUCUGGGGGACGAACAAAUGACGGUACCCCAGGAAUAAGCCACGGCUAACUACGGGCCAGCAGCCGCGGUAAUACGUAGGUGGCAAGCGUUAUCCGGAUUUAUUGGGUGUAAAGGGCGUGUAGGCGGGAAUGCAAGUAAGAUGUGAAAACUCAGGGCUCAACCCUGGGCCUGCAUUUGAAACUGUGUUUCUUGAGUGCUGGAGAGGCAAUCGGAAUUCCGUGUGUAGCGGUGAAAUGCGUAGAUAUACGGAGGAACACCAGUGGCGAAGGCGGAUAGCUGGACAGUAACUGACGCUGAGGCGCGAAAGCGUGGGGAGCAAACAGGAUUAGAUACCCUAGUAGUC